rnacentral:misc_RNA from 1 species
AAGUCGUAACAAGGUUUCCGUAGGUGAACCUGCGGAAGGAUCAUUAGUGAAUUCUGGCUGUCUCUUUACUGAGAAGCUAUCUUCCACUUUUAACCCUGUGAACUAGUCAUCGGCCUCACUUUGCUGAGAGGUUUGAUGUAAAACUUUUUUAUUUAUUUAACGCAAGUUGAUGAAUGUUAAACUUAAUAACCAAAAAAAACUUUCAACAACGGAUCUCUUGGCUCUC